UCAUCAUCAUCAAACAGCAUUCCUUCCCGUUCAUCUUCUUUGUCUUCUGGUUCAGGUGGGAGCCACAGAAUUCCACUGCUUUCAAAAUCCACAGGUUCCAGAUUAGCAUCUUGCGCAGCAUAUAGGGAUGAUGAAGCUUCAUAUUCAUCACUAAUAUCCUGUUUUACAAUCUGCUGCACUUCUUCAGAAGCUUGGGAAUCAAAAUUAUUCUGCAAGGACAAGCUGCUCACGCUUUUUUCACCAGUAGCUUCCCCAUUAGGAUGAACUUUACGUGAUCCAUAGUCCUUAUCAAUGUCAUCAUAGUCAACAUAACUAAAGUAUCCAUUAGUGUGAGAAUAAUGUUUUCCUUGGGAACCUAACUGGUAAACACCAUAUUCAUCAUCAUCAUCAUAACUCCUGAUUUCAGAAUAUAAGAAGAAACAGUCAACUGAAGUGUAAUACAUGUGCGACCACAAGUAGCAAGAAGGGCAGUCAAAUAGAGCAAAUCAAACUUUCAAUAUUUGAACAAUCUCAACUAGGAAAGUGAAGCUGGAAGUGAGUUUACAAAAGCAAAGAGGAAAAAACAGUAUUGUCAAUAAAAUCCAACUUUCAUCAAAUCACUAGAAAAGUGGAGCUAGAUUUCCUAUUUUCAUCUCUGGACUCAUGAACUCAGGCAAAUUGAGGAACANCUUGCAUACAACUCCUUUCACCACAGCACUAUUUAAGGGAACGAGUUCAGAUGAGAGAAGAUACAUCUAAAAAUGUACACAAUAACAAAAGGAGGUGAAGAAGGGCAGAUAGAACACAAGAAGAAGACGCAAGAACAUAAUCACAAGAAAUUAUAGCUGCCUAAUUAUGCCACACCCUGUUUAUAGCUAGCACAAUAAGACAAGUUAAAUCAUAGGGAUAGAGCAAACCCGAUUCUGAACCUCUCUUUACUCAUCGUAAUGCUACAACUACUUUACCAAAUACUAGUCGAAGGCAAACAAUUGAAAGUUUUAAGUGGGGGAAAAAGCAAAGCAUCUCACAAGACACAAGUGGCUCACACAUAAAGAGGGAUGAAGGGAGGGGGCAGAAGAUGUGUUGCUAUUAACCCUAACUCCGUGCAAUAUAAAAGAGGCAAUAAUCGAGCAAAGAGCUGAGCAACAUACUGUACUAAACUGAAAAACUUUAAUUUGUUCACCUGUCACUACGAUGCCCAGAUGCAAUACACUUCACCUUUACAUAUCCCCCAGGGUCCAUUCCCCCACCUUUGCUUGUGUCUGGCUUCAAAAGUGUUGCCGCUUCCCAUGAUAGGGACUUGACUAUCUCCAACCAACUCUCUUUGUCGUCUUCCUCACCAAUGACAAGUUCUUCAACCUGCAUAAGCUGAGAUACUAAAGCCCUGAAGUGGCCAUCAACAACAUUCUUGACUACGUUCUUUUGCUCCUCAUUUGACCUGUCCCUACCUCUAUACUCACCACUACCAAAACUGCGUGAUGCAUUUAAAUAUCCCCACUCUCCUGCCGCAUCUCCAUCAUCAUAAUCAUCAUCAUCAAACAGCAUUCCUUCCCGUUCAUCUUCUUUGUCUUCUGGUUCAGGUGGGAGCCACAGAAUUCCACUGCUUUCAAAAUCCACAGGUUCCAGAUUAGCAUCUUGCGCAGCAUAUAGGGAUGAUGAAGCUUCAUAUUCAUCACUAAUAUCCUGUUUUACAAUCUGCUGCACUUCUUCAGAAGCUUGGGAAUCAAAAUUAUUCUGCAAGGACAAGCUGCUC
rnacentral:lncRNA from 1 species